ACUUUGUUGAACGGAACUGGCCAAUAGUGCCCUUGACUCGGACUGAUGACGCAAGCAGACGUAAGGAAGGCGCAGCUCGCCCGCGCACCGGCUGGAGUGCAAUGGUGUGAUCUCAGCUCACUGCAAACUCCGCCUCCUGGGUUCAAGCAAUUCUCCUGCCUCAGCCUCCUGAGUAGCUGAUAUUACAGGC
rnacentral:antisense_RNA from 1 species